rnacentral:rRNA from 1 species
UCCUCCAAGGCUAAAUACUCCUGACUGACCGAUAGUGAACCAGUACCGUGAGGGAAAGGCGAAAAGAACCCCGGCGAGGGGAGUGAAAAAGAACCUGAAACCGUGUACGUACAAGCAGUGGGAGCACCCUUCGGGGUGUGACUGCGUACCUUUUGUAUAAUGGGUCAGCGACUUAUAUUCUGUAGCAAGGUUAACCGUAUAGGGGAGCCGUAGGGAAACCGAGUCUUAACCGGGCGUUAAGUUGCAGGGUAUAGACCCGAAA